UACGUAGGGGGCAAGCGUUAUCCGGAUUUACUGGGUGUAAAGGGAGCGUAGACGGCGAUGCAAGCCAGAUGUGAAAGCCCGGGGCUCAACCCCGGGACUGCAUUUGGAACUGCGUGGCUGGAGUGUCGGAGAGGCAGGCGGAAUUCCUAGUGUAGCGGUGAAAUGCGUAGAUAUUAGGAGGAACACCAGUGGCGAAGGCGGCCUGCUGGACGAUGACUGACGUUGAGGCUCGAAAGCGUGGGGAGCAAACAGGAUUAGAUACC
rnacentral:rRNA from 1 species